rnacentral:rRNA from 1 species
UACGGAGGGUGCAAGCGUUAAUCGGAUUCACUGGGCGUAAAGGGUGCGUAGGUGGCCAGGUAAGUCUGAUGUGAAAUCUCGGAGCUCAACUCCGAAACUGCAUUGGAUACUAUCUGGCUGGAGGGUCGGAGGGGGGACUGGAAUUCUCGGUGUAGCAGUGAAAUGCGUAGAUAUCGAGAGGAACACCAGUGGCGAAGGCGAGUCCCUGGACGACUCCUGACACUGAGGCACGAAAGCUAGGGGAGCAAACAGG